GGGAUAUGGCGAAAUUGGCAGACGCGACGGACUUAAAAUCCGUCGACCUUAGAAGUCGUGAGGGUUCAAGUCCCUCUAUCC
rnacentral:tRNA from 1 species